rnacentral:rRNA from 1 species
UUUAUGGAGAGUUUGAUCCUGGCUCAGGAUGAACGCUGGCGGCGUGCCUAAUACAUGCAAGUCGAGCGAACGGACGAGAAGCUUGCUUYUCUGAUGUUAGCGGCGGACGGGUGAGUAACACGUGGAUAACCUACCUAUAAGACUGGGAUAACUUCGGGAAACCGGAGCUAAUACCGGAUAAUAUUUUGAACCGCAUGGUUCAAAAGUGAAAGACGGUCUUGCUGUCACUUAUAGAUGGAUCCGCGCUGCAUUAGCUAGU